GAUUGAACGCUGGCGGCAGGCCUAACACAUGCAAGUCGAACGGUAACAGGAAGAAGCUUGCUUCUUUGCUGACGAGUGGCGGACGGGUGAGUAAUGUCUGGGAAACUGCCUGAUGGAGGGGGAUAACUACUGGAAACGGUAGCUAAUACCGCAUAACGUCGCAAGACCAAAGAGGGGGACCUUCGGGCCUCUUGCCAUCGGAUGUGCCCAGAUGGGAUUAGCUAGUAGGUGGGGUAACGGCUCACCUAGGCGACGAUCCCUAGCUGGUCUGAGAGGAUGACCAGCCACACUGGAACUGAGACACGGUCCAGACUCCUACGGGAGGCAGCAGUGGGGAAUAUUGCACAAUGGGCGCAAGCCUGAUGCAGCCAUGCCGCGUGUAUGAAGAAGGCCUUCGGGUUG
rnacentral:rRNA from 1 species